rnacentral:lncRNA from 1 species
CUCAGAACCUUGUGCUUGCGAGGCAGGCACGGUGCCACUGAGCUACCCCCUUAUUUUUUAGCAAGAACAUGCAGCAGGUCAUUUUCUGUGGUGUAAUCGUAUCAUUUUUUUUUUCAGUUCAAUUGGUGGUUUCCUCUUUAUUGAUGUGACUCCUACUCCCUCCCCCACAAUUUCAGUCCCUCUCAUUACCCCCCAAAAAGAAGGUUGUGAAAGGGAUUGUUGGGGUUCUGAACUCCCUGGACAGUUAGAAAGGGAAGAGAAACCAAAACAAUCACUGGGUGUGACAGAGAUUGACAGUCAAGAAGUAUAAAGCGCAGUGGGAAAGGAUGGUAAAAAAAGGAGAAGAAAGGAGAGGUACAAAAGGCCAUGUCCACUAUUACCCCUCCUGCUAAGAGGGGCUGGAUGGAAAGCCUUAAUCUUUUAAGAAGUGCAGGUCCUGAAGAAGGGAGGUGGUGUUUGAGCCUGAAGGAAGUGAAGGUCAGGGAAGGGGUGCCACCUCUCUCUUCGUAGAAUGGAACCCCCCAUCUCAGGGGUAGCAGCUUCACAGACCAUAGACACUUUCAUCACUGUAGGCAGUGUAGAGAAAGAAGUCUUCUUCAUGGUGUUCCUGUGAGAUCAGAAGGCACCAGGUAUUUCUUUUUGUCCAGGUCCCCUAUCCGAGCUUUGGGAGCCUUUUCUGCUAUCACCGGAACCCGGCCCGGAUAUUUUUUUCGGAUCUUCUCGCCCUCAGAGCUGCACUUCUUGAACGGAUGCACCUCUUUGUACACGAACUUCAUCCUCCCAGGAACAGGGUUGGACCGAGCUAAUCUGAGGGAACCCGGGGAGCGGGGUGGGGGGAGGCGGUGAUGGCAGCGACGAGCGGGCGGACUCAGCGGAGCGAGUCGUAUCAUUUUUAAGGUCAGGUAUUUAGAGGGUGCAAGCCUUUGAUGUAGGUUUAAAUUCUGAGUAUUAUGA